rnacentral:lncRNA from 1 species
AUUCUUGGCUCGCACCGCGCACGGUUGACAGUUGGGCUGGGAAAUGUACCCGCGGCUUAAUUAGGGCAUCGCCAGACCUGCCAAGCUCCAGCUCCUCCCCUUCGCGAUUGCCGCGACCCCAGGGACCCCCGGGACCCCCAGGGCAUGCCCCACGCUGUGGGAGGGCGCCUCGCUGCUCCUGAGGCUGUACCAUCAGUGCUCCACCCGUGUGCCCCGCCUCAUAGAAACCUGUCCUGGCCAAGGCAUACCUAUGACCUGUCCUACAGGCAUCCUUACCUGGAAUCCAGGAGGAGAGGCUCACCUGUAGGUUUCGUCCUGUUUUUGAGGAAGCUGAAGGUAGCAUUAACAGGAAGGCUGGCUUUCCAAGCACUGCAGAGCUGAAAAUGGACAGCAUCCAUCUACACAGCCAAGGGCAAGAUCAGGGAAAACCUCGCACCCCAAAAGCCCAGAGGAACACCACGGAAGGAGGCUGGCUAGGUUGACUUUAAAUGUCAAGCCAGAAAAUAAAUAUUGAAAAUUCAACUGCAUGUGAUAUUAAAAUCCCACUAUAAAAAAAAAAACUAGAAAAAAUAUUUGCAACACAUAUGGCAAAGGGUGAGUUUCCUUAAAUGCUAAAGCACUCCUACAGUCAGCGGAAAAUCAACAACCCCAGGGGAACACGAGCAAAUAGCAACAGGCCGUUCACAGAACACAGCCCCAAAUGGCUUCCUCAGAAAUGAGGAGAUGUGCAACCUGCUGCACGAUGACGGGAAUGUGGAGGUGAAAAAUGACAUCCUGCUUUAGAUUGGGUAGAGAAACACCUUCAAGAGUGUGGCUCUGUCGGGGGUACCCACCGGCUUGGAUGGUGAGGGCCCAGCAUGAUUUCAGUGACAGCCUGCAUGGCAGGGGGAGAGCCUGGGUGAGGUUUCACCACUUCCCAGUGGUGUGUCCGCCAGCAGCUUAUAUUCUCUGAGCCUCGGUCUUCCCAUCUGUAAACGGAGGUCCUGGGAACUGGUGUUUCCUGGGAAGAUGAAGGUGUGGUCGGGGAGGGAAGAAUCAGGGAGUGCCACAGAGGCUGAGAGGGCCCUGGGGGAAGGACGAAGGGGUCCCAGUGGGGAAGAGUAGGGGCAUGAGAGGGUGGGAGAGGAAGUCUUGGUGGGGGCAGACCCAGAAUGGCGGAGGGAAUGGGAUGAAAAUGGAGUUGGCCUUGGAGACCACAUCUUCAAGAUUAUUUGGUGGUAGAGGAAAGGAGAGAGCCUGCAGGAGGGAUGGGAUACAGAUGGGAAGGUGACGAGGAUGAGGGACAUGAGAAUAUCUGAAGACUGUGAAAAUGGCCUAGGGUCCCAGGCCCUGGCUCUGCAGCAGCAUCUCAAAGCCUGGCCCACAACGAAUUCUUCAGGCUGGCCUUGUUUUAUGUGACCCAAUCUAGCAGAAGGCCAGGUUGUGCUUGCACAGCUGGAACGUACCCAGAGCCCAAUAGAGGGAUGGGCCCAACCCAGCUUCCCAGGAAUCGACUGGCGAUGGUGGCAUUUAACUCAGAUCCACGAGGACAGCAAGACCAGAGGAACAGCCCAGAGCAUGACAUGUGAAGGAGGAAGCAGAAACUCUGGCCGAGGAAAGGCCCAGCACCACGGCCAAGCAGCAAGGCUAAUAGGAAAACUGAUUCCAGGGUCAGAAGCUGGGAGGAAACCUAAAAUGUGUGCUCACGAAAAGGUGCCUGACAUAAAGAGGGCGUUCCACUAACAUUUCACAAAUGCGUAAACUGAGAGCAGACUCAAGCUCGAGCCCAUGAGUGCAGCGAGGAUACAGAGGUACGGUGGCUAUGAGGACGGGUGCAGAGCAGGUAGCACAUGUGCGGUGGAAAUGUCUGCUGCAGGCCUCAGCACUCUCGAGAGUGCAUGUGCAAUAGGCAAGCACUCUGCUCCCCAGAGAAUUGUCAUCUCAAAGGGAGGAAGGCCUUCCUUCCUUCAGUUACUGGGGGCCCAGCAGCUGAAUGCAGGCUCCCUGGAUUCUACAAGAUUGCUUUCCUUGGUGCCUUGGGGUACAUGACUUUCACCGUGCUGGAAACUCUACUAACCUUGGAUAAAGAGAGAGAAAGCUCCUGAGCUCAUAGCUUUCAGGGUCUCAAGGAGGGGCAGCGAGGGCAGGGGAGUAAGGGAGAAACCUGGGAAGCUCUGAGCACCUGCAGACUUCCGGCUCAUAUCCUUCCAUCGUGCCUCGGUUCUCCCAGCUCCCUGUGCAGACUUAGGUCAGAUCCAGCAGAAGUAUCUGAUUGGUGGCUGGCCAGCCAAAGGGUAGCACCCUCCAAAUCCACUCCUAGUCCAGUGGGCUCCAGACUGAGCUUGUUGGGGCGGGUCACAUUUGAAGAGGAAAUGGGAUUCAGCAGGCCAAUGAGCUAAUAUCUGGGUUGUCUUGGAUGAUCGGUGGUUGACUCCAGAGGCUGCGUGAUAGAGCAACGAAGGCCUGAAACAGCCUCAGCCCACCUGGGCUCUAUCUCCUCCCUCCAGAGCUGCAAAAUGCAGCUCAAUCUCCCUCCCAGCCCCAGGUUCUGAAAUUGCAAAAUGGAAAUAAUAAUGUGUUUGUCACAGGUUGUUGUGAGAAGAAAAUAAGAUAAUAAAGAGGAUAGUGCUCUGCAAACUAGAGAUGAGUUGUUUUAUUUCACACUCAAGGAAGUGAAAGUCUUGAGUUUUACUUUCCAUGAAAUCUUGGUCCAGCUCCCAGCCGAUGCUGGGCACGGGUCAGACCUUACCCCUUCAUCCACAGCUUGUGAGGGAAAAUGCACGUAAGUCUUUC